AUUGAACGCUGGCGGCAGGCCUAACACAUGCAAGUCGAGCGGAUGAAGGGAGCUUGCUCCUGGAUUCAGCGGCGGACGGGUGAGUAAUGCCUAGGAAUCUGCCUGGUAGUGGGGGAUAACGUCCGGAAACGGGCGCUAAUACCGCAUACGUCCUGAGGGAGAAAGUGGGGGAUCUUCGGACCUCACGCUAUCAGAUGAGCCUAGGUCGGAUUAGCUAGUUGGUGGGGUAAAGGCCUACCAAGGCGACGAUCCGUAACUGGUCUGAGAGGAUGAUCAGUCACACUGGAAAUGAGACACGGUCCAGACUCAUACGGGAGGCAGCAGUGGGGAAUAUUGGACAAUGGGCGAAAGCCUGAUCCAGCCAUGCCGCGUGUGUGAAGAAGGUCUUCGGAUUGUAAAGCACUUUAAGUUGGGAGGAAGGGCAGUAAGUUAAUACCUUGCUGUUUUGACGUGACCAACAGAAUAAGCACCGGCUAACUUCGU
rnacentral:rRNA from 1 species